GAGCUAAUACAUGCUAACAAGCUCAACUUCUGGAAGGGAUGUAUUUAUUAGAUUAAAAGCCAAUGCGGGUCAAACCGUCCAUUUGGUGAUACAUGAUAACUUAUCGAAUCGCAUGGCCCAGCGCCGGCGAUAUUUCAUUCAAAUUUCUGCCCUAUCAACUUUCGAUGGUAAGGUAGUGGCUUACCAUGGUCGUAACGGGUGACGGAGAAUUAGGGUUCGAUUCCGGAGAGGGAGCCUGAGAAACGGCUACCACAUCUAAGGAAGGCAGCAGGCACGAAAAUUACCCAAUCCCAAUUCGGGGAGGUAGUGACAAGAAAUAGCAAUACGGGGUCUUUAUAGGUCUCGCAAUUGGAAUGAGUACAAUUUAAAUCCUUUAACGAGUACCAAUUGGAGGGCAAGUCUGGUGCCAGCAGCCGCGGUAAUUCCAGCUCCAAUAGCGUAUAUUAAAGUUGUUGCGGUUAAAAAGCUCGUAGUUGGAUUUCUGCCGAGGACGACUGGUCCGCCCUCUGGGUGAGCAUCUGGCUCGGCUUGGGCAUCUUCUUGGAGAACGUAGCUGCACUUGACUGUGUGGUGCGGUAUCCAGGACUUUUACUUUGAGGAAAUUAGAGUGUUUCAAGCAGGCACACGCCUUGAAUACAUUAGCAUGGAAUAAUAAGAUAGGACUUCAGUUCUAUUUUGUUGGUCUCUAGAGCUGAGGUAAUGAUUAAUAGGGAUAGUUGGGGGCAUUCGUAUUUAACUGUCAGAGGUGAAAUUCUUGGAUUUGUUAAAGACAAACUACAGCGAAAGCAUUUGC
rnacentral:rRNA from 1 species